UACGGGGGGGGCAAGCGUUGUUCGGAAUUACUGGGCGUAAAGGGCUCGUAGGCGGCCAACUAAGUCAGACGUGAAAUCCCCAGGCUCAACCUGGGAACUGCGUCUGAUACUGGAUGGCUUGAAUCCGGGAGAGGGAUGCAGAAUUCCAGGUGUGGCGGUGAAAUGCGUAGAUAUCUGGAGGAAUACCGGUGGCGAAGGCGGCAUCCUGGACCGGCAUUGACGCUGAGGAGCGAAAGCCAGGGGAGCAAACGGG
rnacentral:rRNA from 1 species